UACAGAGGUCUCAAGCGUUGUUCGGAAUUACUGGGCGUAAAGCGUGCGUAGGUGGUUCGUUAAGUCUGCCGUGAAAGCCCCGGGCUCAACCUGGGAAUGGCGGUGGAUACUGGCGGACUAGAGUGCGGUAGAGGGUGGUGGAAUUCCCGGUGUAGCAGUGAAAUGCGUAGAGAUCGGGAGGAACAUCUGUGGCGAAGGCGGCCACCUGGACCAGCACUGACACUGAGGCACGAAAGCGUGGGGAGCAAACAGG
rnacentral:rRNA from 1 species